GAGAGUUCAGGGGCACAGGCUGCCUGGGUCCCUGGGUUAUGGCCUUCGGCCUCUCUCCACCUGGGCCCUGGGAGGGGCGUGGCGGUGAGGGUGAGGCUGUCUGUACUCCGUGCCCCCACCCCUUCUGCUCUAGCAAAGCACAGUGGGCACGGCGCUCACGGGGCCAGGGAAGCCCAGGGGCCUGGGCUGUUCUUGCGCACCAUCCCCAAAGGUCACCACGCUCAGGCUGCCUUGGGGUUCAGGUUCCCGCUGUCGGGGGCCAGAGGAGGGCAGUAAUCAAUCCGUGCCCCGCCGCCCGCGAGGGGCGCGGAUCCAGCCCGGGCCGCCGCUGCCUCCCAGCCGGCGCGGUUAUUUAUAACGGCGGGUCGCGUUACCUCCUGCCCUUCAGCUGGGCCUGGGAUCCCGGGCGAUUAGCCUCUGCCCGCUGCCCACUGCGAACAAACACCCCUCUGUGCGCCCUCCCCGGCGCGGGCCGCAGGGAGGGCCCUGCAGGAAGCAGGAUGUUGACCCGGAGUCUGCUCUGUCCACAUAAUGAGAAAAAUAAGGACAGAAGAGGAAGGUGUCCGUAAAGCUACUCAGUCCAAAGGAUGGUCCUUUCACCUGCGCCGUGCGUGUGACACUUCGUUUUGAUGUCCUGAACUCAGCAAACUAGAACACUGGUGACCAUGUCAGAGCCCACGUUGCUUCUGGAAACGUUAGUGACCUGAGAAACUCUGAAGUCGGAACCGCGGAGCUGGCUCCUUCCGUGGCUCUCGGUGGAAACUGGCGUGGAGGGGCUGUUACAUGUGAGGGACAAUGAUAGCUGAACAUUGGAAAACUCCCAAGGGGAGAAAAGGUUGGGGCUCCUGCCCAGGCAGAGCUGCUGCGGCCCCAGAGGCCAGGCAUCCCCAGGAAACCUGAGCAGAAAGAACAUUCGAGCAACUGUACUGGGAAUUCGGAGAAAAGCCUCGGGGUCAGUUCUCCAUGCCACACACUCUCAGCUCUUCUUGGACUGGGAGCCAGGAGGAAAUGUUCCCUUACACCCCACUUCUGCCUUGUCUAGCCCCCAAGGCUGGUUCCAAAAUAGUCCAGGCCAUUGCUGAAGACGUCAUGGGCCGGCCGCCUGUCUCCCCGCCCCUUGGAGAGGGCAUGUCUGUGCUACCAUGGCCAAAUAUAGAGUGACAUCAGACACCCACCAGCGACCGGGGCUGGGGAGCCCUGCCGGCUCCUCGGAGCCUGCUCUCCCCACCCCCAUGCUGUGCCCCAUCACGCGCUGCAUACCCCCCACAACCCAAGAAGCUGAGAGGCUGACACCCCCUCUCCGGGCCAGUCCUCUGGGGCAUGUCCUGACAAGCCCAAGUGGACUCAGAGGCUGGCCUGAGAGCGCACAGGGCCUGGGCUGGGUGAGGGGGUACCUCUAUCGGACUCCAAGCGCCUUUAUAAGCAUUAGGUUCCUCCGGGCACUCUGAGAUCAGGGGACCAGGGGACAGGUGUCUCCAGGGUGAACCACGCCUGCCCUCUGUUCUUCCCGGCUUCCAAAGGAGACCUGGCCGUGAAGCGGGGUGUGAGAGGCUGAGAGGAGGGCAGGAAGCCAGGCCAAACCCCAAUAAACUGCUGGUGGAAUC